GACGAACGCUGGCGGCGUGCCUAAUACAUGCGAGUCGAACGAACCGCGACUGAGUGCUUGCACUUGGUCAAGGUGAGUGGCGAACGGGUGAGUAACACGUGGGUAACCUACCUCAUAGUGGGGGAUAACAGUCGGAAACGACUGCUAAUACCGCAUAGGACAUAGGAUCACAUGAUCCAGUGAGGAAAGGUGGCGCAAGCUAUCGCUAAGAGAUGGACCCGCGGUGCAUUAGCUAGUUGGUAGGGUAAAGGCCUACCAAGGCGAUGAUGCAUAGCCGACCUGAGAGGGUGAUCGGCCACAUUGGGACUGAGACACGGCCCAAACUCCUACGGGAGGCAGCAGUAGGGAAUCUUCCGCAAUGGACGCAAGUCUGACGGAGCAACGCCGCGUGAGUGAAGAAGGUCUUCGGAUCGUAAAGCCCUGUUGUUAGAGAAGAACAGCGCAUAGAGUAACUGCUAUGCGUGUGACGGUAUCUAACCAGAAAGCCACGGCUAACUACGUG
rnacentral:rRNA from 1 species